rnacentral:misc_RNA from 1 species
GAUCAAGUAGUAGGUGUUUUAUAUAGUGUGUCAUCAGAUGAGGAUGCUGAUUCAGGAAUUCUGUUGGAGCUCAGGAAAGAAAAAGUUCACACAGAAUACGGUGGUGCAGAAGAGGGGUUUUCUGGUCGUCAAUAUGCCCUGAUUGGAGAAGCCAUGUGGUUGCAGGCCCUAAAGCGGCAUAAUGACUUUGAAGCAACAUCG